UACGGGGGGGGCAAGCGUUGUUCGGAAUUACUGGACGUAAAGGGCUCGUAGGCGGCCAACUAAGUCAGACGUGAAAUCCCUCGGCUUAACCGGGGAACUGCGUCUGAUACUGGAUGGCUUGAGUUUGGGAGAGGGAUGCGGAAUUCCAGGUGUAGCGGUGAAAUGCGCAGAUAUCAGGAGGAACACCGGUGGCGAAGGCGGGUCUCUGGGCCGAUACUGACGCUGAGGAGCGAAAGCGUGGGGAGCGAACAGG
rnacentral:rRNA from 1 species